rnacentral:rRNA from 1 species
GUGGGGAAUAUUGGACAAUGGGCGCAAGCCUGAUCCAGCCAUGCCGCGUGAGUGAUGAAGGCCUUAGGGUUGUAAAGCUCUUUCACCGAUGAAGAUAAUGACGGUAGUCGGAGAAGAAGCCCCGGCUAACUUCGUGCCAGCAGCCGCGGUAAUACGAAGGGGGCUAGCGUUGUUCGGAAUCACUUGGCGUAAAGCGCACGUAGGCGGAUUGUUAAGUCAGGGGUGAAAGCCUGGAGCUCAACUCCAGAACUGCCCUUGAUACUGGCAAUCUCGAGUCCGGAAGAGGUAAGUGGAACUGCGAGUGUAGAGGUGAAAUUCGUAGAUAUUCGCAAGAACACCAGUGGCGAAGGCGGCUUACUGGUCCGGUACUGACGCUGAGGUGCGAAAGCGUGGGGAGCAAACAGGAUUAGAUACCCGGGUAGUCC